CACUCACGUUCCCAAAAUCAGAGGAAGGCCAAGGUACUAACUGGCAAUUGGCCCUUUUUAAAGCCACCAAGAGAUGUAUAUCAUCCACUAGCUGCCGCUUAAUACCAGCUAGAUAUAUAUAUAUCUCCGUCUUAAGGGGAUUAAUACUAAGACCUGACGUGUGCUUAAGUCUCUGAAGCAAGGCCAAUAGUUUCAUUCAAGAAUCCAUAUCCCCUUUGGAAAAUAUCAUCAAAUCGUCAGCAAGUCUCCCCUUAGAGCACUGAGAAUGGUAUUUUGAUUUGCCACGACUUGCAGAAUUAUUGAACAGUUCUGGGAAAACCUCCAUCACCAUAACAAAAAUAUGCUAUAAAGGAUCGACCUGCCUUAGUCCUUUCUCACUCUUGAAAAAGCCAUCAAGACCUCCCUCCAAUGUCAGAAGAUACAGAGGAACGCUCUGUAGCUUAGCCUAGACAACAGUUUUCACAUCAGAGACCUCCUAGCUUUGCAGUUCCAGCUUCCAUUUUCUCAGCACAAGAAGAUAGUGCGCAAUGUUCUGGAAGAGGAAAAGUUCAUAAGGAACAUUCCGUUCUCAAUCUCCUCGUCCCCACAGCAUAUUCACCGUAGCGGAAAUAAAUCCAAUACUCUUUCUUGCUAAGACCUUGCCCUAUUAGAGAAGAAUUCCAUUUUUCAGCGCUGUUACCUAUGACAGAUUUAGGAACUAAAACAUGCUUAACACCAUCGACAAUUUUAGGUACGUGGUACGUAUGUGCAACGUCCUAGAUUGCUGGUACACUCUUUUCUUUACAAGUUCGUAUUCGGAUCUUACUUUCUGCCCAAGGAUACUUUUUGGUUCUCCCUAUUUCUUCCGUUAGAACUCACUAUCACAAUCAAAUAAGCACUUUUCAUUGAUCAAGUGGGAAACUUUGCACGUCUUGCACAAUUUUCAAUGAUAAAGAUGAAUUGUUUCCAUUUCAAUUUUUCGCAGAUAAAAGCAAAACUGCACAAUUUAGAAAGAGAAAAAUUAAUCUCUUUUCUCGCCCAGAAAUAUUCUCUGGAAUAGUCUUGAAGCGGACUUAGAUCCAAGCCUACAGGAACUCGGUGGAAUGUUACGUGGAAAACAAGGUCCCACAUUGGCAAUAGAAGAACCUUGACUAUAUACCGUCAAGAUUGUGGGCUUUGUGACUAAUGGUUACCAUAUAAUAUUUCAGAUUAACAAGAGCAAAGCUGACAGGAGAAACUUUGGAUCUCGCAAACUAAGUAAUAUACUCACAAAUUUUGUAAAGCAAAGAAAAGUCUACUAAGCAUAUCAGAGCAGUAAACUGACAAAUCAAGGGAUGAUGUAUUUGGGACAAACAGAAUGCCAAACAAUUCUUGAAGAAGAGAGCAAAAGCCUUACAAUUCUUGAGGAAGAACCCCUGUAUUGAGGUACUUCCUAAGAUCAGCUUGCGUGACCCAUAGAGAGAANNN
rnacentral:lncRNA from 1 species